ensembl:lncRNA
UGCAGGUAACUAUGCCAUGUGACUACAUACUGGCCAAUAGGAUGUGGGUGUUAGUGAUGUGGUCCACUUCUAAAUCGUGCCCUCAAAGGCCUAAGCAGUUCUGGGCAGGGGGACAGCCUCUCUGUCUCAGUGUCUCCGGAAAGUAACUCCCAGACCCCUGCCGAGGGGGCGGGGCAGUCACCUGGCUACAUCGGCGGGCAGAGGGGAUCGAGAACCUUCCACCAGCCUCCAGUCGAGGUUCCUGUGCUCAUCCCCUCCUGUUCCUUCACCCUCAGGAGCAUCUGGCACCACCAUGAAAUUUUUUAAAAUGGCAGCCACCCCUCAUGGCCACCAGCCAGUCAUCCUUUCCUGUCCUGGCGACCGAGCUCGUGUCCAGAAACUGCAGAGGCUCCAGUGGGAAUCACCGUGCGGAAGGAACCUCAGCUGGAGCCUCAGGGCGGGGGUAGCCGGCCAGGACUGCGGCCAGCAAGGCCCUCGCUCUGCGGCCCAUCCAGGCUUCCGGCGGUGGUGACAGGCUCGAGCACCCAGCCGUCUACUUGAUGCUGCCACUUGGACGUUUUACCGACCUCUUGACCUUACCAUGCCUGACCCUGGAGUGCACCCCAUCCCAAGCCAACCCCAGUCUGCUUUCCCCCGUCCCCCCGGCUCAGUCAACACCAUCACCGCCCCCACAGUGCCUCCAGAAGCCAGCCCCCAGUCUUCUCUUCAUUUGAAUCCCUGCUCCUCCUGGUGCCACAUCAGCCUGUGGAUUCCAAGUUCAAACUCCCCUUUCAAAUCCAUCUUCUCCUCCCUGUCUCCACUGCCUCCUCCGGGUCUGACCACCUCAUCUCUCUCUUAGAUAGCUGCCCAGCCUCCUAAUGGGCCUCCCUGUUUCCAUCUUGCUUUCCUCUAACAGCUUCUCCAAAUGGCAGCAAGAUGCUCUUAAAAUGUGAAUCAGAUCAUAUUCUUCUUUUGAAUGUCUUCCCACUGCACUUGGACUCAAGACCAGACUCCUAAAGGGCGGUUUACAAGCAUCUGGCCACCACCUGUCACAUGUCAUCUCUCCCAGGCACUCUCCUAGUCCUUGGGAUUUACCACCUCCGCCCCCCCUUCUUGUUUUAACCUUGGGGACUUUUGAGUUUGCUGUUCCCUCCACCAUUGU